UACGUAGGGGGCAAGCGUUGUCCGGAUUUAUUGGGCGUAAAGAGCGUGUAGGCGGCUAGAUAGGUCCGUUGUGAAAACUCGAGGCUCAACCUCGAGACGUCGAUGGAAACCAUCUGGCUAGAGUCCGGAAGAGGAGAAUGGAAUUCCCGGUGUAGCGGUGAAAUGCGCAGAUAUCGGGAGGAACACCGGUGGCGAAGGCGGUUCUCUGGGCCUUACCUGACGCUGAGGAGCGAAAGCGUGGGGAGCGAACAGG
rnacentral:rRNA from 1 species